GGUUUGCGACCUGGCGGAAAAUCGACUCCCAUGAGAUCCGGCGCCGGUGAUCGCCGGCCAGCUUCCUCGUUGGUCAUAAAACGGUAAUUAUUAUUCAUUUAUACGUGAAGUAGGCAACAUAACACACACAAAUGUGUUUCCGCAAAUUCUCGUCAACAUCGUCUUCCAUCCAAUCCGCCAUAGCCUGCUGCAUUCGAUCUCUUUCCAGCUCCCCACUCCCGUGCAUCUUCCGAACCCAGCACUUCCACACCACCAACCAUGUCAAAGAAGCAGAAGAAGAACAGCAAGGCCGGGAACUCGAAAUUGAUCAACACACUGUUACAAACAGAGCCUACUGGACUAGGAAAAUCCACAAGCUCUGCGCUUUUGACCGCAAUGUCGACGAAGCUCUUCGCCUCUUCGAUCAACUCCGUCUCUACGGCUACUGCCCCGAUUCCCUCAAUCUUAGCAGCGUUAUUCAUGCUCUGUGUGAUGCCCGCCGCUUCCCCGAAGCUCACCGGCGGUUCUUUCUUGCUGUUUCCGCUCAUUCUAACGUGAAUGAGAGGACUUGCAAUGUUAUCAUUGCUCGCUUGCUCGAUUCGCGGAGCCCUGAAUCAACCCUGCAUGUUAUUCGCGCUUUAUUUCGCGAAAAACCUGAGUUUGUACCUUCUUUGAUGAACUACAACCGUUUGAUGGAUCAAUUUUGCGCUUUAUCAAGGCCUAGAGAUGCGCACCAGGUGUUCCUUGAAAUGAGAAACAAAGGGCACUGUCCCAAUGUUGUUUCAUACACGACUCUGAUCAAUGGUUACUGUGGAGUCGGGGAAAUUGGUGACGCUUGGAAUCUGUUCGAUGAAAUGUCUGAGUGUGGAGUGAGUGCUAAUGCAUUUACCUACAGUAUUUUAAUUCGCGGGGUACUUAGAAAGAGGGACAUUGAGAAGGGAAAAGCAUUGAUUGGGAAUCUUUGGGAGGUAAUGAUUGGUGAGGAGGAUAUGCAUGUUAAUACUGCAGCAUUUUCUAACGUGAUUGAUUGUCUAUGUAGAGAAGGGUUGUUCCAUGAAGUUUUUAGGAUUGCAGAAGAUAUGCCUCAAGGAAAGUGUGUAGUUGAAGAGUUUGCUUAUAGUCAAAUGAUUGAUUCACUUUGUAGGUAUGGGAGGUACAAUGGGGGUGCUAGAAUCGUUUAUAUAAUGAAAAAGAGAGGAUUCAAGCCAAGCUUAGUAGCGUAUAAUACAAUCGUACAUGGAAUUUGCAGAGAAUGUGACUGUUUCAGGGCUUAUCAACUAUUAGAAGAAGGGAUUCAGUUUGGAUACUCUCCCUCUGAGUUCACCUACAAUCUCUUGAUAGAGGGUCUUUGUUCUGUAUCUGAUCUUGACAAGGCCAAGAACGUUCUGAAUAUCAUGCUAAAUAAGAAAGUUGUAGAUAGAACUAGGAUUUACAAUAUAUAUCUGAGAGCUAUUUGUCAUACUGAUAAUCCAACCGAGCUGCUGAACACACUUGUUACCAUGCUUCAAACACAAUGCCAACCUGAUCUUAUAACCCUUAAUACCGUGAUCAAUGGUUUCUGCAAAAUGGGAAGAGUUGAAGAGGCUCUGAAGGUGCUGCAAGAUAUGAUGAGUGGGAAGUUUUGUACCCCUGAUGCAGUGACCUAUACGACAGUCAUAGGUGGUUUGCUGGAAGUUGGGAGGGAUGAAGAAGCUCUUCAACUAUUGCAUAAUACAAUGCCUAUGAACGGCAUUACUCCCGGUGUUGUGACCUACAACACUACUCUCCACGGGCUCUUCAAGAUGCAUAGGGUUGAUGAUGCCAUGGAGAUGUUCAACCGCAUGAUCAGCCACAGCAUUGCUGCUGAUUGCACAACUUACACUAUUAUAAUUGAUGGGUUAUUCGAGUCAAAGAGAAUAGAUGAAGCUAAACGCAUCUGGGAUGACAUUGUAUGGCCUUCAAGAGUUCACGACAGCUACGUGUAUUCUGCCAUUCUUAAAGGGAUCUGCCGCUCAGGAAGAGUAGAAGAAGCCUGUGACUUCUUAUAUGAGUUGGUAGACUGUGGGGUUACUCUGUGCCAUGUGAAUUACAACAUUGUCAUUGAUGGUGCUUGCAAGUUAGGGUUGAAGAAAGAAGCAUAUCAGAUUCUUGGAGAAAUGAGGAAGAAUGGGCUUGCUCCAGAUGCUGUAACAUGGAGAAUUCUGGAUAAAUUGCAUGGAAAAAGAGGAAUGCAAUUCUGUGACUCUGAGGAUUUAACCCUGCAAUCCCAAGAACCACUAGUGAAUUGAAUCAGUGCAAGAAUUUGCAGUGGCAAAGGAGAGUUUGGCCAUGAAGAUGAGUAUGUGUUGUCAAAUCCUUAUCACUUGGGAAUAGAAGUAGCAGAAAAGGGGAUUGAGGCUGCAGAGAAAGGAUUUAUCAAGGGAAUAGAAGAGAGUGAAACAACGUCUCUUGUAAGGCUUUCUUUGUCAGGCCACCAUUGUUUACUUUAUUGAUGGUUCUUCAUUCAGAAAGAAGGGCUUUGGAAGCAGCAAGCCAGCAAUGGCUGUUCCCGCUCUCCUGAGGAAAAGACAGAAGAGCUGGAGGAAGCCAGAGGUGAACGAUGCUCGGCCUUCCAGGUUGGUGAAGCAGGCCUUUCUUUGAUUCU